UACGGAGGGGACUAGCGUUGUUCGGAAUUACUGGGCGUAAAGCGCACGUAGGCGGAUUUGUAAGUCAGGGGUGAAAUCCCGGGGCUCAACCUCGGAACUGCCUUUGAUACUGCAAAUCUCGAGUCCGGAAGAGGUGAGUGGAAUUCCUAGUGUAGAGGUGAAAUUCGUAGAUAUUCGGAAGAACACCAGUGGCGAAGGCGACUUACUGGACACAUAUUGACGCUGAGGCGCGAAAGCUAGGGGAGCAAACGGG
rnacentral:rRNA from 1 species